AGUGGAUGGGGAGCAACCUAGUUGUGCGUGUGUAAAGGUAGUGCCAAGAAAAGCGAUGAUCAUGUUGAAAAUCAAUUCCCGGUACCCGAAACCGACACAGGUGGGCAAGUAGAGAAUACUAAGGGGCGCGAGGUAACUCUCUCCAAGGAACUCGGCAAAAUGACCCCGUAACUUAGGGAGAAGGGGUGCCACCGAGAGGUGGUCGCAGUGAAGAGGCCCAGGCGACUGUUUAGCAAAAACAUAGGUCUCUGCAAACUCGAAAGAGGAGGUAUAGGGGCUGACGCCUGCCCAGUGCCGGAAGGUUAAAGAAGUUGGUCAGUUUUAGGAUGAAGCUAGCGACUGAAGCCCCGGUGAACGGCGGCCGUAACUAUAACGGUCCUAAGGUAGCGAAAUUCCUUGUCGGGUAAGUUCCGACCCGCACGAAAGGCGUAACGAUCUGGGCGCUGUCUCGGAGAGAGGCUCGGCGAAGUAGGAUUGUCUGUGAAGAUACGGACUACCUGCAUUUGGACAGAAAGACCCUAUGAAGCUUUACUAUAGCUUGGAAUUGUGUUCGGGCUUCCUGUGCGCAGGAUAGGUGGGAGGCGUAGAAGGUAUUCUUGUGGGGAUACUGGAGCCAACGGUGAGAUACCACUCUCAGGAGGCUAGAAUUCUAACUUAAUUAAGGACAGUUUCAGGUGGGUAGUUUGACUGGGGCGGUCGCCUCCAAAAAGGUAACGGAGGCGUACAAAGGUUCCCUCAGACUGGUUGGAAAUCAGUCGAAGAGUGCAAAGGCAGAAGGGAGCUUGACUGCGAGAAGUACAGUUCGAGCAGGGUGGAAACACGGUCUUAGUGAUCCGACGGUGCUGUGUGGAAGGGCCGUCGCUCAACGGAUAAAAGUUACUCUAGGAUAACAGGCUGAUCUCCCCCAAGAGUUCACAUCGACGGGGAGGUUUGGCACCUCGAUGUCGGCUCAUCGCAACCUGGGGCGGAAGUACGUCCCAAGGGUUGGGCUGUUCGCCCAUUAAAGCGGUACGUGAGCUGGGUUCAGAACGUCGUGAGACAGUUCGGUCCAUAUCCGAUGUAGGCGUGAGAAUAUUGAGAGGAGCCUUCCUUAGUACGAGAGGACCGGGAAGGACGCACCGCUGGUGUACCUGUUAUGAUGCCAAUUGUAAACGCAGGGUAGCCAAGUGCGGAGAGGAUAACCGCUGAAAGCAUCUAAGUGGGAAGCCCACCUCAAGAUGAGUAUUCUGGUGUAAGGUCACGGGAAGACGACCCGUAAAUAGGCACGAGGUGGAAGUGCAGAGAUGUAUGAAGCCGAAGUGUACUAAUAGACCGUCGGCUUGAC
rnacentral:rRNA from 1 species